GAUGAACGCUAGCGACAGGCUUAACACAUGCAAGUCGAGGGGCAGCGAGGGCGUAGCAAUACGCCUGUCGGCGACCGGCGCACUGGUGAGUAACACGUAUGCGACCUGCCCCCUACAGGGGUAUAACCCGUAGAAAUGCGGACUAAUCCCCCAUAGUCCCGCGGGCUGCAUGGCCUGCGGGGGAAAGGGUUUCCGGUAGGGGAUGGGCAUGCGGCGCAUUAGCUAGUUGGCGGGGCAACGGCCCACCAAGGCGACGAUGCGUAGGGGUUCUGAGAGGAAGGUCCCCCACACUGGUACUGAGACACGGACCAGACUCCUACGGGAGGCAGCAGUGAGGAAUAUUGGUCAAUGGGCGCAGGCCUGAACCAGCCAAGUCGCGUGAGGGAGGACGGUCCUACGGAUUGUAAACCUCUUUUGUCGGGGAGUAACGUGCGGGACGCGUCCCGUAUUGAGAGUACCCGAGAAAAAGCAAUCGGCUAACUCCGUG
rnacentral:rRNA from 1 species